GACGAACGCUGGCGGCGUGCUUAACACAUGCAAGUCGAACGAAGUGGCGAACGGGUGAGUAACGCGUAAUCACCCUGCCCUUCAGAGGGGGACAACAGUUGGAAAAGACUGCUAAUACCGCAUACUGAAGGAGGGGAGUGUGUGUGAUUAGCUCGUUGGGGGGGUAACGGCCCACCAGGGCGAUGAUCAGUAGCAGGCCGGCGAGGAGGGACGGCACAAUUGGGACUGGGACACGGCCCAGACUCAUUCGGGAGGCAGCAGUUGGGAAACUUGCGGAAUGGACGAAAGUCUGACGGAGCAACGCCGCGUGAUUGAUGACGGCCUUCGGGUUGUAAAGCUCUGUUAAUCGGUACGCGGUACCGGAAUAGAAAGCCACGGCUAACUACGUGCCAGCAGCCGCGGUAAUUC
rnacentral:rRNA from 1 species